GCCUUGUGCCUCUAUUGUAAGUCACUCAUUCUCCAGGCCUCUUUGGACCUAUUCCUCUCCACAGCUCAAAACAGCUAUGCAAUCAGACUUUCCCGGCCUGGUUCCUAUUGAGAAUGGGGUCUCCCAAUAGACCACUUACUUGGCAGCAAGAUAUUAUUGCCAAUGAGGAGAAGAGAGGAAAGAACCUUCUCCCCAAGUCCAACCCAGGCAAUGGGAAAAAAAAAUACAGGAUCUUGGAAAGUAAAACAUGAAGGCUAUCCCUGUAAAAUUCCCUCUCCCUGAAAUAUAAAACUUGUAGCUGAAAUAGCACCUGACUUCACUCUGUGAGUUAUUUUUGUGGUAAAUCCAUUU
rnacentral:lncRNA from 1 species